rnacentral:lncRNA from 1 species
ACAUAACAGAAAAGUUUUCUAAACUUUUCUAACUAUUCAAUAUCAAUGUCAAACAAGUUCGUAUGCCUAAAUAAAAGAAGCAUAUUAAUAUUAGGGCCGGGGCUCGUGUAGGCCUGAGCUUGUAUUGGACCUGAGAGAGAAUUUAUGGUCUGAACAUAGUUUUGGGGCCUUUGAGCCAUGAGCUUCAGAACAUCUGGUGUCGCCCUGUCUGAGCACUUUACACGUGCUAUGAAUAUGCUUUUUUUACAAAUUCUAAAUAAAU